AAAAAAAACAUUACGUCCUUAAUUGAACGAAUGAAAAAAUGAAAGUUAUUUUGGAUAGUGUUAAUUUACGACUCUGAUAUUGAUGAUCUGGAUUUGAUCAAGUUGCAUCAAUGUGCAUCACGAAUCCAGGAUUCUCAAACUAAGAAAUUGAUCCUUUAUGGUGUAAAACUCUGUUCACAAGCAAAGGGAAGAAAUGGAGGAACAUGCGUACCGC